UAGGGAAUCUUCGGCAAUGGACGGAAGUCUGACCGAGCAACGCCGCGUGAGUGAAGAAGGUUUUCGGAUCGUAAAGCUCUGUUGUUAGAGAAGAACGUUGGUAGGAGUGGAAAAUCUACCAAGUGACGGUAACUAACCAGAAAGGGACGGCUAACUACGUGCCAGCAGCCGCGGUAAUACGUAGGUCCCGAGCGUUGUCCGGAUUUAUUGGGCGUAAAGCGAGCGCAGGCGGUUCUUUAAGUCUGAAGUUAAAGGCAGUGGCUUAACCAUUGUACGCUUUGGAAACUGGAGGACUUGAGUGCAGAAGGGGAGAGUGGAAUUCCAUGUGUAGCGGUGAAAUGCGUAGAUAUAUGGAGGAACACCGGUGGCGAAAGCGGCUCUCUGGUCUGUAACUGACGCUGAGGCUCGAAAGCGCGGGGAGCAAACAGG
rnacentral:rRNA from 1 species